UGGGUGUAUUUGUUCCAUGGAGAUUAAGUUCAGCUACUGCCUGACUCCCUGUCUUCUUCAGACUACACCUAGUUCUUCUGUUUAUCCUUGAGACUUCUGAAAUAAUCUCUUCCUUCCCAGCUGCUUAAAGCUCGGCUGCCAUCAUGAAUGACACAGUAACAAUAUGGACCAGGAAGUUCAUGACCAAACAACUACUUCAGCAGAAACAAGUGGUCAGUGAUGUUCUUCACCCUAGAAAGGCAGCCAUACCUAAGACAACAUUUUGGGGAAAACUAGCCAAAAUUUAAGACCACACCAGAGGUCAUCUUUGUAUUUGGAUUCAGAACCCAUUUUGGUGGUGGCAAGACAACUGGCUUUGGCAUGAUUUAUGAUUUCUUAGAUUAUGCAAAGAAAAAUGAACCCA